rnacentral:rRNA from 1 species
GUAGUCCACGCCCUAAACGAUGUCGACUGGUUGUUGGGGAAGGCAACUUCCUUAGUAACGAAGCUAACGCGUGAAGUCGACCGCCUGGGGAGUACGGCCGCAAGGUUAAAACUCAAAGGAAUUGACGGGGACCCGCACAAGCGGUGGAUGAUGUGGAUUAAUUCGAUGCAACGCGAAAAACCUUACCUACCCUUGACAUGCCAGGGACCUGGGUGAGAGCCCGGGGUGCCCGAAAGGGAGCCUGGACACAGGUGCUGCAUGGCUGUCGUCAGCUCGUGUCGUGAGAUGUUGGGUUAAGUCCCGCAACGAGCGCAACCCUUGCCACUAGUUGCCACCGAAAGGGGCACUCUAGUGGGACUGCCGGUGACAAACCGGAGGAAGGUGGGGAUGACGUCAAGUCCUCAUGGCCCUUAUGGGUAGGGCUUCACACGUCAUACAAUGGCGCAUACAGAGGGUUGCCAACCCGCGAGGGGGAGCCAAUCCCAGAAAGUGCGUCGUAGUCCGGAUUGUUCUCUGCAACUCGAGAGCAUGAAGUCGGAAUCGCUAGUAAUCGCGGAUCAGCAUGUCGCGGUGAAUA